rnacentral:snoRNA from 1 species
GCUGGUGCCGCUGAUGACAGUUUUUUCCCCGUCAGAGCGACAGUGUUGAUUCUCACUGUUCAAGCCAGGUCGUGUCUGAUGCACCGGC